UGCUUCUGGGGUUUUUUUUUCUUUGGUGAUGGGUCAGUCUACCAAGCUCACUCUAAAACUGCAUGACUUGCCUUAUAUGGUUUUUGAAAGAAACUACAAAUCACUGACUAUAAAUGGUUUGAGAUCUGCCAGGUGGACAUCACAGAUAAAGCAGCAACCAGUCCAGAGCCGCCUGAAGGAAAACCUGCAGAGGUCAGUCAUUCUUCCCUAUCUGAGGGGCAGGACACAGAGGUCAAAGAGGAGUCUGAACAGAAGCCUGAUGAAAAAACUGAAGUGGAGACAAGGAUGGAGCAAAUAGAAGAAAAAACAGAAAUAGAGCCAAGUACGAAUAGUGUUGAGGAAAAAACUGAAGAGGAGGAGAAGGAAGGAAUUACCAGCCAAAACGAAGAGAAGGAAGGUGACCAAGAUGAAGAUAAGGAGGUUGAUCAAUCUGAAACUGCUGAACCUGAGAAGACUGACCCACUACAGUCAACUCUCACACAAGAUGGGAGUGAUUCAAAAUCAAAUGAAACAGAAGAUCAAUACAGCAAGCAAAGUCCUCCUGACCUUGACUCUCAUGACACAGAAAAGGUGAAACAGGUUAAAUGCAGACUGUGCGCUGAGGAUUCAGUUUGGCACAUAUUCAGAUCGAAUAAGCAAGAGGUGCAGGCUCAAGUACCAGAAAAGAUGAAGGACAGAUCAGCAGAGUGGUGAGAUUUGAAGACGAGUUCAAGUUCAGGCCAGAGGAGGACAGAGGAGACAAGGAACACAAAUAAAGAUGAGAAGAGCAAGAACUUUUCUGAGACAACACAGUCAGACUGAGCACAGGUAGAAGCAGAGAAUUAUUAUGUUCUCCAUAAUCUAAUCUGGUUUACUUUUCCUUCACCAUAAGGCCCAUGAAGAAGAAACUGGCAAACCUGAAGAUGCCAUCCAAGUGGAGCCAGCUUCAGCUUCAGCUUCACAGAGUGAGGACAUCGAACCUGAGAAGACAUCUGAAUCUGAACAGGAUGCACAAGAAUCAAGUACACCCCUUCUCAAGGACCAGGAAAAGGCAGCCGAUGAACAACCGAAGAGCGAAAGCACUGAUUCUUCAGCUCCAGUUGAGGGUGAGGUAACAGCAGAGGAAACGAUGCAGCGCGGGGAACCUGAGAGUUCACAAGAGGAACCUGAAAAGUCUCUGUCUAACGAGGAAGACUCCCGGGAGAAGG
ensembl:lncRNA